rnacentral:rRNA from 1 species
AUUGAACGCUGGCGGCAUGCUUUACACAUGCAAGUCGAACGGUAACAGGCUGCAAGGUGCUGACGAGUGGCGAACGGGUGAGUAAUGCAUCUGAACGUGCCCAGUCUUGGGGGAUAACUACUCGAAAGAGUAGCUAAUACCGCAUACGAUCUAUGGAUGAAAGCGGGGGACGGUAAGGCCUCGCGCGAUUGGAGCGGCCGAUGUCAGAUUAGGUAGUUGGUGGGGUAAAGGCUCACCAAGGCAACGAUCUGUAGCUGGUCUGAGAGGGCGACCAGCCACACUGGGACUGAAACACCGCCCAGACUCCUACGAGACGCAGCAGUGGCCAACUUUGGACAACGGGCGCAAGCCUGAUACAGCAAUGCCGAGUGCAGGAAGACGGCCUUCGGGUUGUAAACUGCUUUUGUACGGAACGAAACGGCUCCGGUUAAUACCCGGGGUUAAUGACGGUACCGUAAGAAUAAGCACCGGCUAACUACGUG